CUAGUCCGACUUUGUGAAAUGACUUGAGAGGUGUAGUAUAAGUGGGAGCCGAAAGGCGAAAGUGAAAUACCACUACUUUUAACGUUAUUUUACUUAUUCCGUGAAUCGGAAGCGGGAGGGAAUAAUUUUCAAGUUUCAGCAAUCAGGCGCCCACCUGGAUAACAAGGGAAUAAUUUUCAAGUUUCAGCAAUCAGGCGCCCACCUGGAUAAUAAGGGAAUACUUUUUCAGUUUUAG
rnacentral:ncRNA from 1 species